UUGAGAUCAUACCAGAACUAAUGCACGAUCCCAUCAACUCCGCAGCUAAGCGUGCUUGGGCGAGAGUAGUACUAGGAUGGGUGACCCCCCGGGAAGUCCUCGUGUUGCA
rnacentral:rRNA from 1 species